GAGAUAGAGUUUUGCUCUUGUUGCCUAGGCUGGAAUGCAGUGGUGUGAUCCUGGCUCACUGCAAGCUCCCCAUCCCGGGCUCAAGCAAUUCUCCUGCCUCAGCCUCCUGAGUAGCUGAGAUUACAGGCAUGUGCCACCACACCAGGCUAAUUUUGGAAUUUUUACUAGAGGCAGGGUUUCAUCAUGUUGGCCAGGCUGGUCUCGAACUCCUGGCCUCAAGUGAUCCACCUGCCUCGGCCUCCCAAAGUGCUGGGAUUACGGGUGUGAGCUACCAAGCCUGGCCUGAGACCACCUUUUGACAACACUCUCAGUGACCUUGAGAAAUAAGUCAAGGCUGAGUUCUGGUGAGGCCUGGGGUAAAAGCACAGUGCAGGAUUAAGAUUUUAAGAGGGGAAGGAGAAUGAUAUUUACUGAGCACCUCCCAUGAACCCAAGUAGUAACUCAUAUUGUCUCAUCUGAUCCUCAAAUCUGAUCCUCAAAACCAUUCAAGGUAUAAACACUAGCUUCAUCCCCAUUUUUACAGAAAAAUAAAACUGAGGUUCAGGAAAGACUGUGUAGAGACAGUGACUCAGACUGAGGCCUUGAGUACAGGCAGACACAUGGGGACGAGGCUGGAGGAGAAAGGGUGGAGGUUCCUGCAAAGCUUCAUGGCCCCCUGAGGCCCGAGGUUACUCUAUCUCGUGGCCAAGCUGGGGUACAUGUCCUCGCCCAUCUGAACACAAGGUUACUGCACUGGGCUGGGAGCACAGCGAAGAGACCUGAAGGGGCAGGCAGCUAGCUGUGCACUUUAGAAAGCAAGAUCUGGCUCACAAAUGAAAAGGUGAAACUCUCCACACAAUCCCAGGCAAAAGGGCUUUAGGAAAGGGGUCAGAAUGUUUUCCUUGUGGGCCUGGCUGAGAGGCUAGUUGGUGAUCACUUCCACUUCGGCACAUCUCAGUGUUGUCACUUUUUCUAUAAUAAGCAGGUUAUAAAUGAAAAGAAAGACACAGUCAGGGCCUGUCUUAGCAGAUCUGUCUUUGGCUGUGUGUUAUCUGCCCCUCCUUCUCACCCCACUGCCCGCCAACAUUCUUUGUUCCCCAAAGACCACUGCUAUUCCAGCUUGGUGCCAUCUGUCUGCAUCACCCCCUCUCUCUCCUUCAUCAGCUCACAGUACUUUGCAUCCUCUAGUGCUUACUGUGGACCACACACUGAUCUAGGUGCUGGGAGCACAUCGGAGGUCAGACACAAAUCUCCCAGUCUUCACCUAGAUUAUCUCCUAGUGGGAGAGACCAACAGUGAAUGAACUCAUAUAUGUCAGUGCUGAUAAGCGUUAUGAAGAAAAAUAAAACAGGUUAAGGAAAUAGUGUAAUGCCAGGGCCCUUCGGAUGGGGCUCAUCAGACAAGGAGAUCAUGACAUGCAAAUGGAGAUCGGAAUUAAGUGAGACAACAGCCACAGGGAUAGCCAGGGAAGAGCAUUCCAGGCAGAAGGGACAGCAAGUGCAAAGGCCUCGAGGCAGGGAGCGUAUCUGGCAGGUUCCUGGAACAGCAGCGAGGCUGAUACAGCUGGAGUGGCCAGUGAGGUCAGAGGUCUCGGGCAAUUGAAAACUCAGCUCACGCAUCCCUUUCUCUGAGAAGCCAUCUCCAAUCAGCCUCAGGCCGGAUGAAGUGGCGAGCAUCAUCUUUAAGCAGCAAAAGGCCCGCUGAGCCAGGGAAGACUGUGAGUCUUUCCUGAGCCAAGAGCUCACCUGAGCUGUGCAGGCAAGUACCCUCGGGGAGCCACUUGGCUUCCUCACCACCCACCAGCAAUGAGGCUUUGCAGAGGAGAUCCAGGCAGGCAGGCGGGGAGGAAGGGAGUGGCUGCGAGAGGGAGGGAAGGGCUCUGCUCCCCGCUCCCCCUGCUAAAUUUCCCAUAUCUGCCUCAACUUGUGCUUUCUUCAACAGUUCAUGGCAUAACUGAGCCCCUGCUUUGAGGAAAGCCCACAUGAGAAAAUAAAAAUGUAAAACUAAUUCAUCAGGCAGUUAUGAUUCAUAGAGAGGAAACACCUUUCCCUCUGAAAGAGAUUCCAGGAAACGUCAGCAUCCCAAGUGAGUUAACAGACCGGAGCGUUGGUCAUCUAGCAGCUCACAUCAGCAAAUGAGAGACAGCCAGGCCUUACAUGUGGGACAGAAGUAUACUUGUCUGGAGUAGAAAAAUGCCUACUGAGAAUAGGCAGGAACUGGAAAUUAGAGAAGUGGGCUGGGUGUGGCCUGUGGCAAACUGUGGAGUCCAUAGAAAGCCUCCCAGCUUGGCACAUGGCUGGAACCAAGGGGUCCGAGGGCAGCCCGUUAAGUGAAACCAGAAAUCUGGGGAAUUAGGUAAAAUCACCAAUUAAAAAAUGAUGGCAAGUGUUUCAAAAAUAAAAUAAUACGCAAAGCAAAGGAAACACUUCUGUGGGUCAGAUUUGGCCUGAGUAUUAUCAGUUUGUGAACUUGGCCUUAAAUCUUGAACGUGAAGUAUUUUUGUAUCAGAAUAGUCAGUAGAAUGAAAGAUACAGCAAGAAGAGAGAGAGAGACAUAAAAGUUAUAGAGCCAGAAGGGAGCUUCAAGAUCAUGGAGUUCCUGUGUGGUCAAGAGGUUUCAUCUCAGGGAUCAAGUCUAGUGGCUGCCAGGCUGGUAAGGCUGAGACCCAACUCUGUUGGAGCCCUGAGAUAGAUUAGCAAUGUCUGCCAAGGACAUGGGAAUAGGAAUAUUUGCUCUACACUUUCUGGGUUUGAUGAGUCCAGAUGCAUCUUAAAGGCAAAAACUGAUCCAGAAAGCUGUACCAAAUUCCCUAAUGUCACAAGGAAGAACGGGUGUCCCAUCUGGGGCUCUUCUCAUGACACCCCCAGAUGCCCCUAAACAUUUUGAUCUGCAGUCUACCAAAAACUUAUCUUGGAGAGAAGCCAUCUCUAAACCAAUAAUGCAAGUGGAUAAGAAAAUUUGAUUUUUACAGUGAUUCAUUUUCUCCAUGACUUCUUAGAGACAACAUCUUUUCUAAAUAGCAAGGAGAGUCUGAACCCUGACAAAGCCAUCUGAGGCUGCUACCUCUGGCACACGAAAUAUCCCAGCUGAGGGACCUGAGCCCAGCCGAGGGGUCUGGCGCCAGAGGGAGCCUGGACCCACCAGAGAGCCAUGGCUUGCCUCCCAGCUUGGCCCUCCCCAUCCCACUCGGUGUGAGUCAUGGCUAGCGACUUCAGUGUGCUGGCUGCAGAGUCCUCAGUUUUACUUGGCUCCUGAGCAAAAUGUACUUUUCCAAAGGACACUCAUUCAACUGAAGCUGAAUUUUGCAAUUCCCUGGCAGGGGUGAGGCCAGCCUCCCCUGAGCACACGCUGUCCUGGGGAAUGGGGACCAAAGAAUGUUGUUGUCACCCCCCUCACCUCCUCCUUCCUCCUCCCCAGGGGGGAAGAUCUGUCUAUACACUGGCAGAGCCCUGGCAUGCCUGCCAUUCCCUCAGCCUCUGCUAGUCACCCAACAGCAACCAUUGCCUCCCUCCAGCUCCCCACGCAAGGUGCACUCCUGAACUGGAUUUCAAACUGCACCUGACAGCAGGCCUGGAAGAACCACUGGAGAAGAUGAUCCCACAGCUAAGCCAGCCCGGGAAGCCCCCGCAGAGUGCAGAGCCACGCCCUGCUGCACAUCACUGCUGGGGGUUGUGGUGGCUCAAGCACCAAGUGCAUCGUGAACCUGUUUUUCUUUUUUCCCUCUUUUAAAACAUAGGCUAUAUUUUUAGAGCAGUUUUAGGUUUACAGCAAAAUUGAGCAGAAGAUAGCGAUUUCCCAUAUCCUGCCUGUCCCCACACAUGCACAGCCUCCCUCACUAUCAACAUCCUGUACCACAGGGUUCAUUUGUUAUGAUUGAUGAAUGAACACUGACUCAUCAUUGUCUCCCAAAGUCCAUACUUGACAUCAGGGGUCACUCUUGGUGUUGUACAUUCCUUCGGUUUAGACAAAUGUCUAAUGACACGUAUCAAUCACUGCAGCAUCACACACAGUUUCACUGCCCUAAAAAUCCUCCGUGCUCCGCCUAUUCAUCCCUCCCUCCCGCAACCCCUGGCAACCGCUGAUCUUUUACCGUCUCCAUAGUUUUGCCUUUUCCAGAAUGUCACAGAGUGAAAAUCAUAUGGUAUAGAACCUUUUCAGAUUGGCUUCUUUCAUUUAGUAAGAGGCAUGUAAGGUUCCUCCAUGUCUUUUCACAUUUUUCUAGCUCAUUACCUUUCAAUCCUGAACAAUAUCCCACUGUCUGGAUGAACCAGUGUGCUUGGUAUUUCAAUCCCCACGGAUUUUCAGAGCCAGGGGCUCUGCUGUCUCAUGCAUUAGCUGCAUGACUUUGGACAGAUUUUUCUCUGAACCGCCAGUGUUUUACAUCUGUAAAAUGGGGUUAAAAUACUGCUUACCUCACAGGAGUAAGGAUUAAAUGCAGAAACGCAUGUAAGGCUUGAAUGGCAGCUCCCAGCACGUAGCAAGCGCAUGGUGGAUGUGAGCUGUGAUUAUCAUCAUCGCUAGCGCUGCGACUGUCACUACAUUCCUGAGCUUUCUAUGGCUUCUCUCUUCUGCAGAGCAGCAUGGAGGGGAGUAGAGACAACCCAGCUUUCGGCUCAAAUCCUGACUCUGCUAAGCAACUGGCUGAAUCUCUUGGAGCCUCAGUUUACUCAUCAGUAAAAUGGGGAGGGGCAUUACGUCUCCCUCCUAGGGAGAUUUUGAGAAACAAAUGAGAUCACAAAUUGAAAUGUAGAAAAAACCCUUGGCAUUCAGUAGGUGCUCAAAAAAGGUCAACUGCUCACUGUGAAGGAGAGGUCCUCUGUGCUUCCUGUGAAUAGCCCUGCUGAGCGCAGAAUGCAGGGAAGGGAAAUGGUGGGUAUAUUUGCAGAUGGAAAGGGAAAUCUAGACCCACUGCCCAGCACCAGGAUUGAGAGCCCCUCUGCUGGUUCAUGCUAGGGCAGAGAGAGAAGGGAGAGGUGAGUGCCCUCCUGCCCAGCCCAGCCAGGACCCAGAGGACAGGGGGCGGCUAGGACUCGGGGGUGGAGUAACACCUCUGCAGUGAGCCAAGGCCUGCCUGGCUGUCUUCUUGGUGUCAAAUGACGGCAGAGGCUGGAACACUGAGGCAGUGGCCAAGGCCAGCCAGCAGUUGUUCUUGCGGCCUCCAAGGAGUGGAAAUAGGGACAGGGAAAAGUUACGGGCAGCAGCCAGCAGUUCACAGCAGGUUCUGUGGAAUUGCUGGGGCUAAGCAAGGACUCCUGUGCUCUCCUAUGAAUCGUCCUUGGCCUUUCAUCCAAACUGGACCUGCCCACCUGGGAGGUCCACCACCCCCGCCUGUACCCAAAGGGAUCACACCCUGACCAUGCAGUGUCAGUGAUGCCAGGAGGGAGGGGCUGCCAGCAUCCCCACUUUCCAGGUAGCACGAUAAAGGUCACCCAAGGUGGCAUUGCUGGCAAGCACUGGAGGUGGAACUCAAACCCUUGGCUUGCAGAGCCCCCACAGCCUGAAGCCAAGCCAAGGUCUGCAAAGACUCUGCAUGGCCACUGCUCUCCAUCUGCAUCAUCUCCAUCUGCAUCAUCUCCAUCUGCAUCAUCAUCUCCAUCUGCAUCAUCUCCAUCUGCAUCCCCUUUCAUUUCCACAUUCAUGCAUUUUUUCAUGCAUUCAUUCAGCACCUGUUCUGCAAAUAUCACUAGCACCUGCUCUGCUAAUGAUAAAAAUGGGAGCCAAACAAAGGCAGUCUCUGCCUGCCUGGAGCUAGAGUCAAGAAAACCUCCACUGAGAAUGCAGAGUUACAGAAUGAGAUAAGCAUCGGGGAAGGCCCCUGGGCCGCCCGUGCCUCCACUAGACAAUAGACUGGAGAGUAUACAGGUGGUGAGCCUGGAGCUGCCCUUUCUGGGUUCAAGUCCCAGCUCUGCCACUUGCUAGCUGUGGCCUCGGGGAAUUCACUUCACUGCCCUGUGCUUCAGUUUCUCAGGCUGUCAAAUAGUGCUCACUUC
rnacentral:lncRNA from 1 species